rnacentral:misc_RNA from 1 species
GAUGAAGAACGUAGCGAAAUGCGAUAAGUAAUGUGAAUUGCAGAAUUCAGUGAACCAUCGAAUCUUUGAACGCACAUUGCGCCCGGCAGUAAUCUGCCGGGCAUGCCUGUCCGAGCGUCAUUUCUGCCCUCGAGCCUGUCCAGCAUCUAGGUGCUGUUCCGGCCCGGCGUUGGGGCACUACGGGAAGCCUCGUGCUAUCCCCCGUAGGCCCCGAAAUGAAGUGGCGGUCCUGCCGCGGCUCCCCCUGCGUAGUAUUACAGCUCGCUUCGGGACCCGGUGGAGGCCUGCCGUCAAACCUUACUCUCUAAGUUUGACCUCGGAUCAGGUAGGGAUACCCGCUGAACUUAAGCAUAUCAAUAGCGGAGGA